UACGUAGGGCGCAAGCGUUGUCCGGAAUUAUUGGGCGUAAAGAGCUUGUAGGCGGUUUGUCGCGUCUGCUGUGAAAAUCCGGGACUCAACCCCGGACCUGCAGUGGGUACGGGCAGACUAGAGUGUGGUAGGGGAGACUGGAAUUCCUGGUGUAGCGGUGAAAUGCGCAGAUAUCAGGAGGAACACCGAUGGCGAAGGCAGGUCUCUGGGCCACUACUGACGCUGAGAAGCGAAAGCAUGGGGAGCGAACAGG
rnacentral:rRNA from 1 species